GUCUACGGCCAUACCACCCCCAACGCGCCCGAUCUCGUCUGAUCUCGGAGAUAAAGAUCGGUCGGUAAGACACUCGGGAUGCCUGGGUGGCUCUUUCGGUUAAGCGUCUGCCUUCAGCU
rnacentral:rRNA from 1 species